AAGAUUCUAGUUAAAGUUAUAACACUGCCUUGUCAAGGCAAAGUUGUAGGUUAAACCCCUGCGUAUCUUG
rnacentral:tRNA from 1 species